UAAGUUUUCAUAUAUUAUUCAAUUCGUAUAGUUAUCUUGGUUGUCUUGUUUCUUUAGUAUGUUUUAUGUUUGAAGUUUGAGUCUUUCUUGUGAUUGACAAAUAGGAGGGAGGUGAUGAGGAAGAUACAAUAAUAAGGGUUUAUUUCCAUAUGAGUUGUUUGUGAAGCUUUUUAACUCAAAAAAGGUUGAAUUACGUCCAUUUGGCCUCACAAAUUGCGGGAACAGUUGUUAUGCUAAUGCUGUCCUUCAGUGCCUAGCGUUUACUCCACCCUUCACGGCUUACUUCCUUCAAGGCUUCCAUUCAAAAGGAUGUAUGUUUCUCAAUAAUAAUUUUAUGCAAUUGAUUUUUGAAUCUUAUUCUCUCAUUAAAAGAAAGUGAUCCUGUCUUGUUUUCAUAUUCUUGUUAGGUGCAAAGAAAGAUUGGUGUUUCAACUCUGAAUUUGAGAGUUUAGUUCUAAAAGCAAAGAAUGGGAAUUCUCCGCUCUCCCCUAUCCGGAUAAUUUCCCAUUUGGAAAAUAUUGGGAGCAGUCUUGGUAAUGGGAGAGAAGAAGAUGCUCAUGAAUUUCUCAGGUAUGUCAUUGAGACCAUGCAAUCUGUUUGCUUAAAGGAAGCAGGUGUCCGUACAUCAUGCUCUUUGGAAGAGCAGACAAGUCUCAUUGGGCUUACAUUUGGGGGCUUCCUUCGUUCAAAGAUUGAGUGCAUGAGCUGUGGAGGCAAAUCUGAGAGGCAUGAAAGAAUAAUGGACCUUAUAGUUGAAUUGAUGGAG